rnacentral:rRNA from 1 species
UACUCGAGUGGCGAACGGGUGAGUAACACGUGGGUGAUCUGCCCUGCACUUCGGGAUAAGCUUGGGAAACUGGGUCUAAUACCGGAUAGGACCGCACCUUAGUGUGUGUGGUGGAAAGUUUUUUCGGUGUAGGAUGAGCUCGCGGCCUAUCAGCUUGUUGGUGGGGUAAUGGCCUACCAAGGCGGCGACGGGUAGCCGGCCUGAGAGGGUGUACGGCCACAUUGGGACUGAGAUACGGCCCAG